UGGGGAAUAUUGGGCAAUGGGCGCAAGCCUGACCCAGCAACGCCGCGUGAAGGAAGAAGGCUCUCGGGUUGUAAACUUCUUUUGUCAGGGACGAAGCAAGUGACGGUACCUGACGAAUAAGCCACGGCUAACUACGUGCCAGCAGCCGCGGUAAUACGUAGGUAGCAAGCGUUAUCCGGAUUUACUGGGUGUAAAGGGCGUGUAGGCGGGAUGGUAAGUCAGAUGUGAAAACUAUGGGCUCAACCCAUAGCCUGCAUUUGAAACUAUCGUUCUUGAGUGCUGGAGAGGCAAUCGGAAUUCCGUGUGUAGCGGUGAAAUGCGUAGAUAUACGGAGGAACACCAGUGGCGAAGGCGGAUUGCUGGACAGUGACUGACGCUGAGGCGCGAAAGCGUGGGGAGCAAACAGGAUUAGAUACCC
rnacentral:rRNA from 1 species